rnacentral:sRNA from 1 species
CCGGUCGCCCAAAGGGGAUCGGCAAGUCCAGGAGGCGCCAUUUGCUCUUGGCGUCUUCUUGUAUCCAUGUUGCUUGAAAGGAGGAUAUGGCUAUGAGAA